UGAGGAAUAUUGGUCAAUGGGCGAGAGCCUGAACCAGCCAUGCCGCGUGCAGGAUGAAGGCCUUCUGGGUUGUAAACUGCUUUUAUCAGGGAAGAAAAGCUCGAUUUCUAUUGAGACUGACGGUACCUGAGGAAUCAGCACCGGCUAACUCCGUGCCAGCAGCCGCGGUAAUACGGAGGGUGCAAGCGUUAUCCGGAUUCACUGGGUUUAAAGGGUGCGCAGGCGGGCUAUUAAGUCCGUGGUGAAAUCCCGGGGCUCAACCCCGGAACUGCCAUGGAUACUAUUAGUCUUGAAUGUUGUUGAGGUGGGCGGAAUAGGUCAUGUAGCGGUGAAAUGCAUAGAUAUGACCUAGAACACUGAUUGCGAAGGCAGCUCACUGGACAAAUAUUGACGCUCAGGCACGAAAGCGUGGGGAUCAAACAG
rnacentral:rRNA from 1 species